CAAAAGGCUCUUUUCAGAGCCACCCACAACUUCAGUAAGAGCUUGG
rfam:Pelodiscus sinensis unplaced genomic scaffold scaffold2737, whole genome shotgun sequence.